rnacentral:tRNA from 1 species
GCAGGCUGAUGCUGGGGGAUCUGGGCCGGCCGACCAUGGCUGGCCGGCUGUUGGUCUGAUGGCCGGUUCGCGGUUACAGGCCGUGGAGCCCGUUC